GAGCAAAACUGUAACACGAUUUCAUUGUUUCAACUUCAAAGAUUAUAUCACCCCCAAACCAUGAUGGAACCGCCACCGUGCUUGAUAGCGAAUUGGGAUACUGUAAGUCAUUGCUACCAGUGCAAAGUGGUCGGGCUUGUAUGGAACCGCGGUCAUAAAUACUUCUAGAUGUGCUAUCGCUAUGAAACUUUCCCCAAAAAUCUAAAAAAAAUAUUAUAAAUAUGAAAUAAAAAAAUUUACCGGAUCGUACCAUUA